GGUGGGAUGGCUCAGUGUUAGAGUGUUGCAGCCCCGGAAAGCUUUUAAGAGAAAGCGUAGGUUUAAAUCCUACUCUCAUCA